rnacentral:rRNA from 1 species
AGCGGAGGGAUCAUUACCGAGUUUACAACUCCCAAACCAUUGUGAAUCUUACCUUUUCGUUGCUUCGGCGGGAUCGCCCCGGGCGCCAUCGCGUGCCCCGGAACCAGGCGCCCGCCGGGGGACCUAAACUCUGUCGUUUUGUGGUAUUUCUGAGUGGAUUAUCAAAUAAUCAAAACUUUCAACAACGGAUCUCUUGGUUCUGGCAUCGAUGAAGAACGCAGCGAAAUGCGAAAAGUAAUGUGAAUUGCAGAAUUCAGUGAAUCAUCGAAUCUUUGAACGCACAUUGCGCCCGCCAGUAUUCUGGCGGGCAUGCCUGUCUGAGCGUCAUUUCAACCCUCUCACCUCCGGGUGUGGUGUUGGGGAUCGGCCAGCAGCCCCUAGCGGGCGGCGGCCGUCCCCUAAAUCUAGUGGCGGACCCGUCGUGGCCUCCCCUGCGUAGUAGUGAUACCCCGCACCGGACAGCGACGAGCCCCUGCCGUAAAACCCCCCAACUUCCAAAGGUUGACCUCAGAUCAGGUAGGAAUACCCGCUGAACUUAAGCAUAUCAU